AUCUAGCUGACGAGUCUCAAAUAGGACAAAACGAGCAUCAAACUAGAU
rfam:Schistosoma curassoni strain Dakar, Senegal genome assembly, scaffold: SCTD_scaffold0005996